CGGGCAUCGCCAGAACAGUGUGUGAACAGGAAACACACUUGCCUCUUGGGGCAUGGGACCUGGAUGCUGGGCUUCAUGCAGGUGCCUGGAGGCAAUUUGUACCACUCAGCAUGACAGUGUAAACUGAAUCAAGAUUAAUUUACAUGCAAAAGAACACUUAGGAGAGCAGCACGGACUGCCCACUCCUGAGUCAUCUUAAAAGGUCUUCUGUGACGCUCAGACCUCUUCCUGGAUCAGUUUCACAAAUCCAUGUGUAAAGUUACAGACUGAGACCUUUCUUACAAACCCGCUGAAACCCGUAACUAAAAGGAUGCUACUGAAAAAGCCUGUGGUAAAUCUGCCAGCAUCAAGUCCCACAUCAAAGGAUGAAUUCAGGAAGACAGAGAGAAUGAUACAGAAACGCCAAGAGACCUGUGAGGAUUUACAAAUACUUCAUAUAAACACAUUUUCAAAUA